UCCAAAUAAGGUGAUGAUAUGCUUUAUGAAAUUCAAAACCAAUAAAAAAACACCUCGUCUAAAAUAGGAAGAAAAUUUUGGCAAAAUUCAUAAGGAAGCUGAAAUUUUUAUUCAAAAUCUGUUGUAGGACCUGAGACAAAAGUCAAACAAAGCUGCUGGCAAGAGAUCCCCACCGGUAUCGCCAGGCAGAACGUACAGGUCAUCGUGAUGCUGAGUAGAAGCUCUACUACAUCUCAGCACACUAAAGAAAACCUUCUCCUGUCCUCCCUUAUCCCUUGUACCUUAGGUGCCAAAGCAAAGCGAAUGGAGCACCUACAAGCAACUCGAGCAACCACCAAUGGCCUAAACAUCUCCUCAAAUUAUCCCUAUCUAUCCAACUCUGACUAAAAAGAAUUCCACGCAAUUUUACUAGAAAUGUGCUGAGCCUAUUUCUUCGUGUUUUAAGAUGAAAGAAAUUCUAAAGGUAUUACCCAUGCGUCAUAACAUCAAACUCUGAAACUAUGGAAAUCACUGACUCCAAUAGCAUCACUUGAGGGAAUAAUGCAUACUACAAAAUAUGUUGAAUAACUAACACCUAAGUUGAAGAAGGUAUAUAUAUACAGACCUACUACACCAGAAUUUUAUUCACUUCUCUCAAGAUACUUCCAUCGGUGAACAAGGUCUACCUACACCAACGAGCAAUGACUUUCUACAACGGCCUCUACAACAACGAGUUCUAUUCACCAUAUCGCUAUGGUUUGGGUGGCCUGAGUGGUUACCGAUUUGGGAGCCCAUAUGGCUACUACCGGAAUCAAUACGGGAGCCCGUACGGCUACAGAAGCUUUGGGAGCCUGUAUGGGAACAGAGGCUUGAUUGGUUAUGGAGGCAAUUAUGGGUAUGGGGGCUCAUAUGGACUUGGGUAUGGCUACCCCUUCUUUGGGAACAGAUACGGCUAUGGAAACUGCUAUUCAUGCUGAACCAGCAGAAAUAGCAACCGAGAAAUGAAGUGCAGGAUAUGGAUUCACGGCUAAGCUCACGGCACUGAGAAACAUCAAGCACCUGUUCCUCUGGCUGGGUUCAGCAGGACAUGCAGGUGCCAGGCUCUGUAGGAAUACCCCAUACCUCUCUACUAUCUCCUAUUUCUUCAACUCUUCCUCUAAAGGGCAACUUGAAUUACAGCAAGUACUGAGGUGUUUUUAUGUUGGUCAAGCAAAGACUUUCAGGCACGAGAACAUUGCCUUUUAAGUUAAUUCACAGCCAGUUGGUAUUGUCAUAGUAAUAGGAGUUUCUACGAGUGUUCUACCAUGAACGAGCCCACUUUGCUUAGCUAUAAACGUCACUGAAGAUGACAUCUGGUAGAGCAGCUCCUGUUAGGCACUCACGCUGUGCCUCACCUGGCAGCGAACAUUAUCUGGAAGCAACUCUGUGAGCAAGAAACACAUCUGGAGUGCCAAACUCAGCCAUUUUUACAUGGAGAGAGCAACAUCCGAUACCAGACACACUCUGCUUGUUGAAGACCCUUUUGCAAAACUGCAGACUUAAUCUUUCUGUUACUCACUCUUUUUCAUCUUCAUUAAAAUUACUCUGCUUAAUAG